UCGGCCAUGAGGUACAUUCCUCCCUCUAAGUGCAGUUCCCAGAAAGGGGUGCGUACACAAAGGCCGGCCACAGCUUUCACCAAGAGGCGAGGAAUGUCUAGGUGUGAGUCAACCAUCGCAAGGUAGCGGGGGAGGGGGGGGGUGCAUGUUUCGGCUUAAAGAGGGGCUUUAGUUCCGCGGCGGUCAAGGCGAAGCAGGUGGAUGGAAAGAAUGUCACAUGCCUCUCCCGCGCAUGCGCACAAAUUCGACAGUUGGCCGAGUCGAGGCAAAGAGGAAGACCAUAGCAAUCGCUAUCAGUUCCUUUGCGACGCCGGCAUGGUACGGUCGAGCGAUGUAGGUGUUUCGUGGCGUAUUGUAGCAGCAAUCUAGCUAUUUUUGCUGCUAUUUAUGCUUAUGCUGUGUUGUGGCUAAUUCAUCGAUGCAAGCCAACCAGCAAGGUGUUUGCGAAGCCCACGGUGCUUUCUUCGUUCCGUGAUGUGAGCGUUUCUGGAACUUCUCUGCCAGCUGCGAUGCAGUGUCGUGUGAAGUGAUUUAAUAUUGGCACUGACCAUGUUUUAAACUGCACAAAUAGCGAACAGCUGUUCCUCAAGACUGCUAUGCGCCGAAGUUUUCUCUAUCUCCAAAUUAUAUUAAAAGGGUUGGUUCAUUCUGCAAGCAUUCUGAGACAUCAGCUUGCAUAAUCGAUGCUUGCUAGAGAUUAUGCGACAGCUGCCAUGCCGUAAUCAACUAAGUCAUUAUUCAUUUUUUUUAAUUUCUCUACUACUUCUCUCACAAUUCUGUGUAAAUAUUUUCGUGUGAAUAAACUUCUUUCAGUGCAAA
rnacentral:lncRNA from 1 species